UAGGGAAUCUUCGGCAAUGGGGGGAACCCUGACCGAGCAACGCCGCGUGAGUGAAGAAGGUUUUCGGAUCGUAAAGCUCUGUUGUUAAGGAAGAACGAGUGUGAGAAUGGAAAGUUCAUACUGUGACGGUACUUAACCAGAAAGGGACGGCUAACUACGUGCCAGCAGCCGCGGUAAUACGUAGGUCCCGAGCGUUGUCCGGAUUUAUUGGGCGUAAAGCGAGCGCAGGCGGUUAGAUAAGCCUGAAGUUAAAGGCAGUGGCUCAACCAUUGUAGGCUUUGGAAACUGUUUAACUUGAGUGCAGAAGGGGAGAGUGGAAUUCCAUGUGUAGCGGUGAAAUGCGUAGAUAUAUGGAGGAACACCGGUGGCGAAAGCGGCUCUCUGGUCUGUAACUGACGCUGAGGCUCGAAAGCGUGGGGAGCGAACAGG
rnacentral:rRNA from 1 species